CAUAUCAAUAAGCGGAGGAAAAGAAACUAACAAGGAUUCCCCUAGUAACUGCGAGUGAAGCGGGAAAAGCUCAAAUUUAAAAUCUGGCAGUCUUUGAUUGUCCGAGUUGUAAUCUAGAGAAGUGUUAUCCGCGUUGGACCGUGUACAAGUCUCCUGGAAUGGAGCAUCAUAGAGGGUGAGAAUCCCGUCUUUGACACGGACUACCAGUGCUUUGUGAUGCGCUCUCAAAGAGUCGAGUUGUUUGGGAAUGCAGCUCAAAAUGGGUGGUAAAUUCCAUCUAAAGCUAAAUAUUGGCGAGAGACCGAUAGCGAACAAGUACCGUGAGGGAAAGAUGAAAAGAACUUUGGAAAGAGAGUUAAACAGUACGUGAAAUUGCUGAAAGGGAAACGCUUGAAGUCAGUCGCGUUGGCUGGAAAUCAACCUUGCUUUUGCUGGGCGUACUUUCUAGUCAACGGGUCAGCAUCAAUUUUGACCAUUGGAAAAAGUGUAGAGGAAUGUGGCAUCUUCAGAUGUGUUAUAGCCUCUGCUCGCAUACAAUGGUUGGGAUUGAGGAAUUCAGCACGCCGCAAGGCCGGGUUUCGACCACGUUCGUGCUUAGGAUGCUGGCAUAAUGGCUUUAAUCGACCCGUCUUGAAACACGGACCAAGGAGUCUAACAUACCUGCGAGUGUUUGGGUGGAAAACCCAAGCGCGUAAUGAAAGUGAAAGUUGAGAUCCCUGUCGUGGGGAGCAUCGACGCCCGGACCAGACCUUUUGUGACGGAUCUGCGGUAGAGCAUGUAUGUUGGGACCCGAAAGAUGGUGAACUAUGCCUGAAUAGGGUGAAGCCAGAGGAAACUCUGGUGGAGGCUCGUAGCGAUUCUGACGUGCAAAUCGAUCGUCAAAUUUGGGUAUAGGGGCGAAAGACUAAUCGAACCAUCUAGUAGCUGGUU
rnacentral:rRNA from 1 species